GGCUUCAUAGCUCAGUUGGUACAGUAUCGCACGGGUAACGCGGAGGUCACGGGUUCAAAUCCCGUUCAGAAGCCA
rnacentral:tRNA from 1 species